rfam:Camelus ferus unplaced genomic scaffold scaffold338, whole genome shotgun sequence.
AGAGGUAUAGCUCAGUGGUAGAGUGUGUGCCUAGCAAGCACGAGAUCCUGGGUUCAAUCAGCAGUACCUCCA